rnacentral:rRNA from 1 species
CCUACGGGGGGCAGCAGUGAGGAAUAUUGGUCAAUGGGCGUAAGCCUGAACCAGCCAAGUCGCGUGAGGGAUGAAGGUUCUAUGGAUCGUAAACCUCUUUUAUAAGGGAAUAAAGUGUGGGACGUGUCCUGUUUUGUAUGUACCUUAUGAAUAAGGAUCGGCUAACUCCGUGCCAGCAGCCGCGGUAAUACGGAGGAUCCGAUCGUUAUCCGGAUUUAUUGGGUUUAAAGGGUGCGUAGGCGGCCUUUUAAGUCAGCGGUGAAAGUCUGUGGCUCAACCAUAGAAUUGCCGUUGAAACUGGGAGGCUUGAGUAUGUUUGAGGCAGGCGGAAGGCGUGGUGUAGCGGUGAAAUGCUUAGAUAUCACGCAGAACCCCGAUUGCGAAGGCAGCCUGCCAAGCCAUGACUGACGCUGAUGCACGAAAGCGUGGGGAUCAAACAGGAUUAGAUACCCGGGUAGUC